AGCUCCAAUAGCGUAUAUUAAAAUUGUUGCAGUUAAAAGGCUCGUAGUCGAAUGUAUGGCCCUUGUGAACCUGGCCCACUUCCACGUGAGGUGCGCGCCGGUGUUCACGGGUCAUCCUUGUGGAGAGUGCUUCUGCCCUUGAUUGGGUUGGUUGUACAAUUCACAUCAUUUACUGUGAACAAAUCAAAGUGUUCAAAGCAGGCUUUUUAGCUUGUAUGGUUCAGCAUGGAAUAAUAAGAUAGGACUUUGGUUUUAUUUUGUUGGCUAAUAUCCAAAGUAAUGAUUGAAAGGGAUAGUUGGGGGUGCUAGUAUUUAGCGGUCAGCGGUGGAAUGCGUGGACCCGUUAAAGACUAACUUAUGCGAAAGCAUUCACCAAGGAUAUCUUCUUUGAUCAAGAACG
rnacentral:rRNA from 1 species